AUUGAACGCUGGCGGCAGGCCUAACACAUGCAAGUCGAGCGGAUGAAGGGAGCUUGCUCCUGGAUUCAGCGGCGGACGGGUGAGUAAUGCCUAGGAAUCUGCCUGGUAGUGGGGGAUAACGUCCGGAAACGGGCGCUAAUACCGCAUACGUCCUGAGGGAGAAAGUGGGGGAUCUUCGGACCUCACGCUAUCAGAUGAGCCUAGGUCGGAUUAGCUAGUUGGUGGGGUAAAGGCCUACCAAGGCGACGAUCCGUAACUGGUCUGAGAGGAUGAUCAGUCACACUGGAACUGAGACACGGUCCAGACUCCUACGGGAGGCAGCAGUGGGGAAUAUUGGACAAUGGGCGAAGGCCUGAUACAGCCAUGCCGCGUGUGUGAAGAAGGUCUUCGGAUUGUAAAGCACUUUAAGGUGGGAGGAAGGGCAGUAAGUUAAUACCUUGCUGUUUUGACGUUAACAACAGAAUAAGCACCGGCUAACUUCGUG
rnacentral:rRNA from 1 species